GACUUGCUUGCCAAGGAUGGAGGCUUGUUCACAUCUGGAGCAGCAAUUGGCGAGGCUGAAGUGGAAACACAAGUUGAGUCUUUGACCAGACCUUAAAUCUGGGGAAAUCUCACCUUAGCUUCUGGGUGCUCAGGUGAUUCAGCAACACAGAGUUCCACCCCUUUCCCUUGUUGCUAGGCAACAACUGUUUGGGUGGGUCCUGAGUAGGAAGGGAGAGAGGUUAUGUCUCCUGUCCUCAAAAGAUUCCUCCAGCUAUGGUAGGGGAAACAGGGUAAUGAUGGGGCCACGUCUUUCCUGCUGACAGGAGAGGAGCUGACCUGUAAGGAUGGUGGCAGGGAAGAAGAAAUUUCAGCCCUGCCUCCUACUCUGCAGCAACUAAUUUCCAUUAGUCUUCGGUUCCUCUACAAGUCCUGGAACGGUGUGGGGUGAGGUCAAGAACAAGCCUGGAGACCCAGAAGGAGCCUACAGAAGUGAUCCCAGGAACUCACCUGAGGGAGGAGGUGUGCAUUGACAACCCUUCAGAACCACGAGGAGCAGAAUCAAAGCCAGAACAUAAUGAGAAAUGAACUUGAUAACUGCAAUUUGGAUCAUGAAUCCUUAUUCCAUUCCUGGCUGGCAGCAGCCAUGACUUGAACUGGAGAGAGAGAGAGAGAGAGAGAGAGAGAGAGAGAGAGAGAGAGAGAGAGAGAGAGAGGAGAGGGGAGAGAGAGGAGAGAAGGACAGGGAGAGGGAGGAGAAAGAAGAGAGGAGAGAGCAGAGAGAGGAGAGAGAGGAGA